UGACGAGUGGCGGACGGGUGAGUAAUGUCUGGGAAACUGCCCGAUGGAGGGGGAUAACUACUGGAAACGGUAGCUAAUACCGCAUAAUGUCGCAAGACCAAAGAGGGGGACCUUCGGGCCUCUUGCCAUCGGAUGUGCCCAGAUGGGAUUAGCUAGUAGGUGGGGUAACGGCUCACCUAGGCGACGAUCCCUAGCUGGUCUGAGAGGAUGACCAGCCACACUGGAACUGAGACACGGUCCAGACUCCUACGGGAGGCAGCAGUGGGGAAUAUUGCACAAUGGGCGCAAGCCUGAUGCAGCCAUGCCGCGUGUAUGAAGAAGGCCUUCGGGUUGUAAAGUACUUUCAGCGAGGAGGAAGGCAUUAAGGUUAAUAACCUUAGUGAUUGACGUUACUCGCAGAAGAAGCACCGGCUAACUCCGUGCCAGCAGCCGCGGUAAUACGGAGGGUGCAAGCGUUAAUCGGAAUUACUGGGCGUAAAGCGCACGCAGGCGGUCUGUCAAGUCGGAUGUGAAAUCCCCGGGCUCAACCUGGGAACUGCAUCCGAAACUGGCAGGCUAGAGUCUUGUAGAGGGGGGUAGAAUUCCAGGUGUAGCGGUGAAAUGCGUAGAGAUCUGGAGGAAUACCGGUGGCGAAGGCGGCCCCCUGGACAAAGAC
rnacentral:rRNA from 1 species